CAUACAGAACAGGAUGGCGGCGCUUUGGUCAGAUUAUAACAUUCCCCACUGGUUUUUGUGGCCAAGUCAAAUCAUUGACUCAGUGCUUGAUCUGAUCUAG